GGAGGAAUUUUACGAGCCUCCUUCGCGGCUUCCUGCUACUCCUCUAUGAUUUAACCCCAAGCCAAGCCUUCCUCCCAUGAUUUAAACUCAUUGGGUGCCACAAGUCCGUGCGCUCAAGUCCGACACGCGCGUUCACGCAUACAGCAACACGUCCGUCGAACCGCAUCCAGGGAACGCCACGU